UACGUAGGGCGCAAGCGUUGUCCGGAAUUAUCGGGCGUAAAGAGCUCGUAGGCGGUUUGUCGCGUCUGCUGUGAAAACUCGAGGCUCAACCUCGGGCUUGCAGUGGGUACGGGCAGACUAGAGUGCGGUAGGGGUGACUGGAAUUCCUGGUGUAGCGGUGGAAUGCGCAGAUAUCAGGAGGAACACCGAUGGCGAAGGCAGGUCACUGGGCCGCAACUGACGCUGAGGAGCGAAAGCAUGGGGAGCGAACAGG
rnacentral:rRNA from 1 species